AACUGGAUAAUCUAGACAUUCUGCCAAACAUCUUCAUGGUCCACCAUAUUGAUAACAUCAAAGUAAUUCAGUUAGUUGAUCAAACUAAUUAGACGGGAUGAAUCAAAAGUGGCAAGUACGCUGGAGGCUUUAGUGAGACUCAUGCAUUCCAGAGGAUGGGAGGAAUGAUUUCUGUGGAAAUGUGGCUAUUGACAGUGGAUAGCAGUCCAAAUCUCAGUGUUCAAAGGGGUGAACUCUUUUCUGAGCUGAGCUGGCCAAGAUCUCCAAGUGCCCUAUUCUACUGGAAGAGAAGUAGGGGUUUCCAGGAGAUGGAAAAAGUAUCCUCGUGGGUUGAAAGCAGAAUUGUGAAAUGGUCAAGAUCCCAGGUUCUGGAGACAGAAUAUUUGGCAUUUAAAUCCUGGUCUUGCUACUUAGUCCCUAGGUGGGUGACAUGGGGCAAAUAUCAUUUAUUCAAGUAUCAGUGUCUUUAUAACUGUAAAAGAAAGACACUGUUGAUUUCAUAAGAUUACUGUGAGCCUUAAAUAAAUUGAUGUAUGCAAGUUGCUUAGACAGCACUUGGCUUACAAUAAGCACUUAAGUUUUUGUUAUUAUGAUAUCCAGUCUUCUAUAAGGAAUUUAAGAAAGUUUUUGAUUUUAAGAGGGAAAAUACUUAAAAUGGGUAAGAACCUCUGCAUUCAAAUCCAACUUCAUCCCUUAGGAGCAAUGACUUUGAAAAGUCACUUAAACUUUCUAUCAUCAAUUUUUCUAGGGAAUAUUCUAAUGAAUAAAAUAAGACUAUGCAUAUAUAGCACUAAACACAGUGUUUGAAAAAUUGGAAGUACCCACUAAGUGGUAGGGAUGAGGAAUAUAAUUGUUAGGAUUUAAUUAUUAGCUAUAGUUGAAAAUUUACUUGGGUGAAAUCACUUUUCAAAAAUCUUCAUCUAAGGAAAUAUGUGACAGAGUGAAGACAGCAAAACCACAAUUUUCCAGCAAGUUUUAUGGGCCUGUCUCUGUGGUAGACAAUAUUGUGCAGUAAAAAAUGAUGAGGUCCCUGACUAAAAGGAGUUUGCCAUCUAAUUUGGGAGAUGAAUCAUCCACAAAUGGGGUAAUGUUUGUAAAGCUCUCAGUUCCUUGUCUGUCACAGAGUGGAACUUUAAUCACUGAGAGCUGAUAUUAUUAUUAUUAUGUUAUUAUUUGUCAAAAAGUACAUAACAAAGAUUCAAACAGUAUAACAGCAACCGCUAGAGUCUAAGGUUUCAUAUAAUAAGGGUCUGACUAAGGAAAUAGCAUGAAGACACCUCAAAAAAUUAAGAACAGAACUACCAUAUGGUCCAGC